AGAUUCAAGUUCAAUGUUACUAUGAGAGAGCCAUGUCAUCAUGCAGCAAGCUCCAUCAGAAGGCACUUUUACCCUGCUGUAAUCACAUUUUAUCAGACGUAUGUAAUAAAGUCCUAACAAUUAGACCACAAUUCAAGAAGGAUAUUGACAAGUUAGAAGAGAAGGGCAACCAAAAUGAUCAAAGGUUUAGAAACCAAGCCCUAUGAGGAACAACUUAGUUAGUUGGGUACUUUUAACUUGGAGAAAAGAAGGCUGGGAAUGAAUAUGAUAGCCAUGUUUAAAUAUUUGAAAUGAUUCUUCAUUGAGGAGGAGGAGGCAAGACUAGGAUAUGGAACAAUGAAUUCAAACUGCAAAAAAGAUUCCACCUAAAUAUUAGGAAGAAUUUUAUUGUGGUUGAUGGUAAGAGCUGUUCAGCAAUGGAAUAUACUGCUUCGGGACAUGGUGGAGUCUUCUUCUCUUGGGGUUUUUAUGCAAAGGUUGGAUGGCCAUCUGUCAAAUGUGCUUUGAUUGUGUUAUAGCAAGUGGUUGGACUGGAUAGCCCUUGUAUUCUUUUCUAAUUCUAUGAUUCUAUGAAAUAAUAAAAGGAUAGUAAAGAAAACUAUCCAGUUACAGAGUUAAAUAGACCAAAUGCCAAUAAUGAAGAUACAUACACACGAGAAUUUGGGAUAUUAUCUCAGGUUUCAGUAACGACAUGCAGAGAUCAUUAAAUCUUAAUGCAUUAUUAUUGCAUUUCUAACUUCAAUGACUUUAAACAAUUAUAAGACUUUAAGACUGUGAAAGAACCCAGAUGAAUGAUUUAUUAGGCAUAAAUUAAGACUUCUCUCUAGUGGCCAACUAAGAUGAGGAGCAACAGACAUCAUGCCAUGCUCGUGGAUGAUGAAGUGAAAAUCUGCUGCUCACAGAGUUAAAUAUUCCAAUUGCCAAAUGAUCUCAAAAGCCCUGACCCUUAGAAUUUCUUGUUGGUGGUGCUAUUAAUAUAUUUCUUAACAGUAGUGGCUGUGGCAUUGGCAUCUACCCUGUGUGAUUUGAUAAGAACACUUAUGCUUCUUCUUCUGAUCUUAGUAUAUGGAAUGCCCCUUAUGUUGGACCACAGGAACAAGGCAUGAACAUCAUAUAUAAAACAUGAGAAGGCUAGAUCAUCAAGUUUGCAGACGACACCAAACUGGGAGGGAUAGCUAAUGUGAGGAGAAGCCAUAGGGAGAAGGGAGCAAGCUUGUUUUCUGCUGCCCUGGAGACUAGGACAUGGAACAAUGGCUUCAAACCACAGGAAAGGAGAUUUCACCUGAACAUUAGGAAGAACUUCCUCACUGUGUGAGAGAGAGAGCUGUUCAGCAGUGGAACUCUCUGCCCCGGAAUGCGGUGGAGGCUCCUUCUUUGGAGGCUUUAAGCAGAGGCUAGAUGAUCAUCUGUCAGGGUGCACUGAAUGCAAUUUUCCUGCUUCUUGGCAGGGGAUUUGACUGGAUGGCCCAUGAGGUCUCUUCCAACUCUAUGAUUCUAUGAAUGGCUUACAUCCAUCCUAAGCAUUCUUACUUAUUUUGGCAUCCCUCCACAGCAAGGAAAGCUCUUGUCUUUCAUUUGACAUGAGAUUGCUAUACUGACCUAUACUUGAUGAUAAAUGAUUGGCAGGGGUAUGAGGGACAAUUUUGACGUGGUGGGCUGUGACAGAAAUGGGAGACAUAUGAGGUUUAGGUCAUGGACACUACUAAAAUGAUUUACUAAGGAAAAACUUAGGGGGAAAAUUAUCAUGGGGACAAUGCUUUCAUUUGUCAUCCAUCUUUUGAAAAAAAAUAGACUAAUACUUUUAUGUGCAUAUUUUUUCUUGGCAGAAACAUGUUCAUCAGCAUCUCUGUUUAAUACAUUUUGGAGAACAAUUUUUUUUCUCAGUGCAUAUAUUUUUAUGUGAUUUUUCCUAAUGUGUACAUUUAUAUUUAAUUCUAAAUUCCUAUUUUAAAAAAAAAAUGAAAAAAAUUCACAGCCAGUCCUACAUGGGAGGGAUUUGUUUUGAGAAACAGACAUGCAUUGGUACUGCUAGCAGAUCAACUGGCUGCUUUCAUCAUAUGGUUUAACAAUCUGGAGGACGCCUGCUCUCGAUCACUGUUUGGUACCAUGGGUUUUGAUGCCGUCUCUCAUCAGUCCAUACCUAUGUUUUAAGUCCAAGUGUCCUCUCAGCUUCACGUUUGCCUUGUUGCAAUGAGGGAGAAGGACUUCUUUGCAAUAGAUUCCAUUCAUAAAAUUAUCUAAAAUAAUUUAUAUCAUUGCCUUCAUGCUAUGUGUAUAAUAUGUAUAUGAAACAUAAAUAAAAUUUGCAUUUAGA